rnacentral:rRNA from 1 species
GAUGAACGCUGGCGGCGUGCCUAAUACAUGCAAGUCGAGCGAACGGACGAGAAGCUUGCUUCUCUGAUGUUAGCGGCGGACGGGUGAGUAACACGUGGAUAACCUACCUAUAAGGCUGGGAUAACUUCGGGAAACCGGAGCUAAUACCGGAUAAUAUUUUGAACCGCGUGGUUCAAAAGUGAGAGACGGUCGUUCUGUCUGUUAUAGCUGGAUCCGCGCUCGAUUAGCUGGUUGGUAAGGUAACGGCUUAACAAGGCAACGAUGCAUGGCCGACCUAAGAGGGUGAUCGGCCACACUGGAACUGAGACACGGUCCAGACGCCUGCGGGAGGCAGCAGUAGGGAAUCUUCCGCAAUGGGCGAAAGCCUGACGGAGCAACGCCGCGUGAGUGAUGAAGCUCUUCGGAUCGUAAAACUCUGUUAUUAGUUGAGAACAUAUGUGUAAGUAACUGUGCACAUCUUGACGGUACCUAGUCAGAAAGCCACGGCUAACUACGUG